rnacentral:rRNA from 1 species
GACGAGCGCUGGCGGCGUGCUUAACACAUGCAAGUCGAACGGAAAGGCCUGCUUUCCCUUGUGGAUUGCGGGUACUCGAGUGGCGAACGGGUGAGUAACACGUGAGUGAUCUGCCCCCAACUUGGGUAUAAGCCUGGGAAACUGGGUCUAAUUCCCGAUAGGACUGCAGGGUGGUGCCUGUGGUGGAAAACGAUUUUCUAGUGGUUGGGGAUGAGCUCGCGGCCUAUCAGCUUGUUGGUGGGGUAAUGGCCUACCAAGGCGGCGACGGGUAGCCGGCCUGGGAGGGUGGACGGCCACAUUGGGACUGAGAUACGGCCCAGACUCCUACGGGAGGCAGCAGUGGGGAAUAUUGCACAAUGGGCGGAAGCCUGAUGCAGCGACGCCGCGUGGGGGAUGACGGCCUUCGGGUUGUAAACUCCUUUCGACCGCGAGGAAGCCACCUGGUUGGAAGGGUGGUGACGGUAGUGGUAGAAGAAGCACCGGCUAACUACGUG